rnacentral:rRNA from 1 species
UGGGGAAACCCAGUGUGACUCGUCACACUAUCAUUAACUGAAUCCAUAGGUUAAUGAGGCGAACCGGGGGAACUGAAACAUCUAAGUACCCCGAGGAAAAGAAAUCAACCGAGAUUCCCCCAGUAGCGGCGAGCGAACGGGGAGGAGCCCAGAGCCUGAAUCAGCAUGUGUGUUAGUGGAAGCGUCUGGAAAGGCGCGCGAUACAGGGUGACAGCCCCGUACACAAAAGCGCAUGUGCUGUGAGCUCGAUGAGUAGGGCGGGACACGUGGUAUCCUGUCUGAAUAUGGGGGGACCAUCCUCCAAGGCUAAAUACUCCUGACUGACCGAUAGUGAACCAGUACCGUGAGGGAAAGGCGAAAAGAACCCCGGCGAGGGGAGUGAAAAAGAACCUGAAACCGUGUACGUACAAGCAGUGGGAGCACAGGUUUACCUGUGUGACUGCGUACCUUUUGUAUAAUGGGUCAGCGACUUAUAUUCUGUAGCAAGGUUAACCGUAUAGGGGAGCCGUAGGGAAACCGAGUCUUAACCGGGCGUUAAGUUGCAGGGUAUAGACCCGAAACCCGGUGAUCUAGCCAUGGGCAGGUUGAAGGUUGGGUAACACUAACUGGAGGACCGAACCGACUAAUGUUGAAAAAUUAGCGGAUGACCUGUGGCUGGGGGUGAAAGGCCAAUCAAACCGGGAGAUAGCUGGUUCUCCCCGAAAGCUAUUUAGGUAGCGCCUCGUGAAUUCAUCUCCGGGGGUAGAGCACUGUUUCGGCUAGGGGGCCAUCCCGGCUUACCAACCCGAUGCAAACUGCGAAUACCGGAGAAUGUUAUCACGGGAGACACACGGCGGGUGCUAACGUCCGUCGUGAAGAGGGAAACAACCCAGACCGCCAGCUAAGGUCCCAAAGUCAUGGUUAAGUGGGAAACGAUGUGGGAAGGCCCAGACAGCCAGGAUGUUGGCUUAGAAGCAGCCAUCAUUUAAAGAAAGCGUAAUAGCUCACUGGUCGAGUCGGCCUGCGCGGAAGAUGUAACGGGGCUAAACCAUGCACCGAAGCUGCGGCAGCGACGCUGAUGCGUUGUUGGGUAGGGGAGCGUUCUGUAAGCCUGUGAAGGUGGCCUGUGAGGGUUGCUGGAGGUAUCAGAAGUGCGAAUGCUGACAUAAGUAACGAUAAAGCGGGUGAAAAGCCCGCUCGCCGGAAGACCAAGGGUUCCUGUCCAACGUUAAUCGGGGCAGGGUGAGUCGACCCCUAAGGCGAGGCCGAAAGGCGUAGUCGAUGGGAAACGGGUUAAUAUUCCCGUACUUGGUGUUACUGCGAAGGGGGGACGGAGAAGGCUAUGUUGGCCGGGCGACGGUUGUCCCGGUUUAAGCGUGUAGGUGUGUGUUCCAGGUAAAUCCGGUUCACUUUAACACUGAGGCGUGAUGACGAGGCACUACGGUGCUGAAGCAACAAAUGCCCUGCUUCCAGGAAAAGCCUCUAAGCAUCAGGUAACAUCAAAUCGUACCCCAAACCGACACAGGUGGUCAGGUAGAGAAUACCAAGGCGCUUGAGAGAACUCGGGUGAAGGAACUAGGCAAAAUGGUGCCGUAACUUCGGGAGAAGGCACGCUGACACGUAGGUGAAGUGAUUUACUCAUGGAGCUGAAGUCAGUCGAAGAUACCAGCUGGCUGCAACUGUUUAUUAAAAACACAGCACUGUGCAAACACGAAAGUGGACGUAUACGGUGUGACGCCUGCCCGGUGCCGGAAGGUUAAUUGAUGGGGUCAGCGCAAGCGAAGCUCCUGAUCGAAGCCCCGGUAAACGGCGGCCGUAACUAUAACGGUCCUAAGGUAGCGAAAUUCCUUGUCGGGUAAGUUCCGACCUGCACGAAUGGCGUAAUGAUGGCCAGGCUGUCUCCACCCGAGACUCAGUGAAAUUGAACUCGCUGUGAAGAUGCAGUGUACCCGCGGCAAGACGGAAAGACCCCGUGAACCUUUACUAUAGCUUGACACUGAACAUUGAGCCUUGAUGUGUAGGAUAGGUGGGAGGCUUUGAAGCGUGGACGCCAGUCUGCAUGGAGCCGGCCUUGAAAUACCACCCUUUAAUGUUUGAUGUUCUAACGUGGACCCGUGAUCCGGGUUGCGGACAGUGUCUGGUGGGUAGUUUGACUGGGGCGGUCUCCUCCUAAAGAGUAACGGAGGAGCACGAAGGUUGGCUAAUCCUGGUCGGACAUCAGGAGGUUAGUGCAAUGGCAUAAGCCAGCUUGACUGCGAGCGUGACGGCGCGAGCAGGUGCGAAAGCAGGUCAUAGUGAUCCGGUGGUUCUGAAUGGAAGGGCCAUCGCUCAACGGAUAAAAGGUACUCCGGGGAUAACAGGCUGAUACCGCCCAAGAGUUCAUAUCGACGGCGGUGUUUGGCACCUCGAUGUCGGCUCAUCACAUCCUGGGGCUGAAGUAGGUCCCAAGGGUAUGGCUGUUCGCCAUUUAAAGUGGUACGCGAGCUGGGUUUAGAACGUCGUGAGACAGUUCGGUCCCUAUCUGCCGUGGGCGCUGGAGAACUGAGGGGGGCUGCUCCUAGUACGAGAGGACCGGAGUGGACGCAUCACUGGUGUUCGGGUUGUCAUGCCAAUGGCACUGCCCGGUAGCUAAAUGCGGAAGAGAUAAGUGCUGAAAGCAUCUAAGCACGAAACUUGCCCCGAGAUGAGUUCUCCCUGAGACUUAGAGUCUCCUGAAGGAACGUUGAAGACGACGACGUUGAUAGGCCGGGUGUGUAAGCGCAGCGAUGCGUUGAGCUAACCGGUACUAAUGAACCGUGAGGCUUAACCUU